rnacentral:lncRNA from 10 species
GUAAAGGAGGUAUGGCAGCUGUGGAAGAGAGCCCUGCUCAGAUUUCCCUCCAGGAGCACAAGCCUCCAGCUGCCGCACCUUUGGGAUCCACUGCAACACUCACUCACACCAAGUUCGUGAUCUCACAAAGCUGCUGCUCCCAGCCAAUGGCUGAGCAUGUUGUGGGUACAGGAGCUGGGCCUUUCCUGCCCAAUGUGGGCCUCUUUUGAUGGGCAGUUUUUGCUCUGGGGUUUCUCAUCGGCCUGGCCUUGCUAUUUCAGACCUUGAUUGUAGUCUGAGGCUUUUCCUACUCAAACCUCCUUCACUCCUUUGUGAUCUGAAGGUAUCUCCUGCCUGCUGCUUCUCACUCUCACCUUUAUCUUCCAUGGGUAUUUCCCUCAAAACAACUACAUGUUUAAUUUUGUCUUGAUGUCUGCUUCUUAGAGGGCCUAAACUGACAGAGGAUGUAAGAAUUCAGAAGAAUUUUGUGGUACUCAAUUGCAGGAAGUGGAGCUGGAAUUCCUGGGAAGGGAAACUUUUGUCCAAACAGCAAGUGUGGAGAAAGUUUUUUUGCUCAGAUAUGGAAGAGACUGCAGCCUGCAACAAACAAUGAGGAAGAGGAUUUAUGAAUGUAGCUUCCUAUGUCAACUUUAAUGAAUUUUCUUGUCUUCAAGUUUGCCUUCCAUGCCCAAUUUUGGAGAUACUGGUGUUUCUUAUUUUUUCUAAACUUUUUUUGCCAUUAUUUUCUUUUCCAUUUCCUUUGGGGUUUUUUGUGGGUGUAUUAGUCCAUUCUUACACUGCUAUAAAGAAAUACCUGAGACUGAGACUGGGGUGAUUUAUAAAGAAAAGAGGUUUAAUUGACUCAUGGUUCCACAGGUUGCACAGGAAGGAUGGCUGGGGAGCCCUUAGGAAACUUACAGUCAUGGCCAAAGUCAAAGGGGAAAUAGGCACAUAUUCACAUGGCCAGAGCAGGAGGAAGAGAGGAAAGGGGGAGUUGCUACAGUAUACUUUUAAAUAACCAGAUAUUAUAAGAACUCACUCACUAUCAUGAGAAGAGCAAGAAGGAAAUCCACUCCCAUGAUUCAGUCACCUCUUACCAGGCCCCUUCUCCAACUUUGGGGAUUACAAUUCGACAUGAGAUUUGGGCAGGGAUACAAAUCCAAACCAUAUCGGUGGGGUGUUUUGCUUUUUAAAUUUUUAAUUUUUUUAGAAUCAUAUUUUUAAAAUGUCUUAAAUGGAAGCCAUAAUUGUACAUAUCUAUGGGGUACAUAGUGAUGUUUUGAUACAUAUGAUGUAUAGUGAUCAGAUUAGGGUAAUUAGCAAAUCCAUCUCAUUUAUCAUUUCUUUGUGUUGUGAACAUUCAAUAUUCUCAUUCUAGCUAUUUGAAACUAUAUCUAUAUAGUCAUCCUAUGGUGCUAUAGAACACUAGAAUUUAUUCGUCCUAUCUAGCUGUAAUUUUAUAUCCUUUAACAAAUCUCUCCCUUUCCCUCUACCUUUCCCAUCCUCUAGUAUCUUCUGUUCUACUUUUUACUUCUAUGCACUCAUUUUUUUUAGCUUUCACAUAUGAGUGAGAACAUGAGAUAUUUCAUUUCCACUUAAUAUAAUGUCCUCCAGUUCCAUUCAUGUUGCUGGGAAUGAUAGGAUUUCAUUCUUUUUUAUGGCUGAAUAGUAUUCCAUUGUGUACAUAUACUACAUUUUCUUUAUCCAUUCAUCUGUAGGUGGACACCUAGGUUGAUUCCAUAUCUUGGCUAUUGUGAAUAUGUUGCAAUAAACAUGGGGGUGCAGAUGUCUUUUUUAUGUACUGAUUUCCUUUCUUUUGGAUAAAUACCCAAAAGUGGGAUUCCUGGAUCAUAUGGUAGUUCUAUUCAUAGCUGUUUUUUUUUUUGUUUGAAGACUCUCCAUACUGCUCUCCAUAGUGGUUAUACUAGGUUACAUUCCCAAUAACAGUGUGUAAGAGUUCCCUUUUCUCUGCAUCAUUGUCAGCAUUUAUUUUUUGUCUUUUUGAUAAUAGCCAUCCCAAGUAGGGUGGAAAUGAUACCUCACUGUGGUUUUGAUUUGCAUUUUCCUGAUAUCCCGUUCUCUUUGUUUGAGUUAAUACCUCCUUUCUCCCCAUUCCCUCUUUUGGUGAGAUUUGAGGUGGAAUAGGAGGUAAAUAUAUGUGUUCAAUUAGUCAUAUUUAACUCAAUGUCCCCUUCCAGGAGCUCUGGAGGGUCUUCUUGACAGCAGUCAUUCCUAUGGAGGGGGUACAGGGAGGAGUCAGCUCUUAAACUUUAAACUAUGUUAGGCUGUGAGAUCACCUCUAACUUCAUGAUCUGACCCUGAAGAGAAUGGAAAACUUGUGUAUCUGAUGAGUAUAAGUAGAGAUAGCUACAGGCAGCUCACACUUCAAAGCACUUGACUUUUUGUAAUGCAGCUGAGUUAAUUUUUUGAGUUGCUUAGGAUGAUACUAUUGUGGUAAGAUGACCUAUAAGCCACCAAAAAAAUGCUAGCUUGGUUUUCUUUGGGUAUACAAAGCCUCCUGAAACUUCAGGUAUCCUUUAGUAAUUAGUAACUUCUUAUUCUGGUUAAGUUGGGAGAUUGUUACAUAUUGGGGGCUAAUUAAGUAAAAAUAUUGAGAAUAAUGGAGUUAGAGAGAGGAAGAAAGCUAGAUUGAAUCCUGUGAUGUUGGGUUGGAAUUGGAGGCAUGAACUCAUGAUUAUCAAUACAUAGGCCAAAAUAGAAAUAUAUAGAUGCAAGCCUAUAUGUACACACAUGCACAUUUCAAUAAUAUAAGCAGAGAGUUAAAUUUAGAUGUAACUCUGGUAUGUAUGUGUGAGUGUGUUUACAUAUACAUAUAUCUGCUAGCUCUGUCUACUGAGAGAGACUAGGAGCAGCAAUAUACCAAUAGUAAAAGAUAAAUUGAACCUAUAUCUUGAUCUUAAAAUACCAUUCCCCAUUAAAAGCAACUAGGUCUCUUUGAGAAAAUGAUUGAUUUUGGGUCUGGGUAGAAAAAGUAAAAGAAGAGCCAGAACAUCUUUUGAUAUAAGAGAGCAAGGGAAUGUUGAAGUAAUGCUGGGACAUAAAGAAAGGACACAGAAGUCAGCUUGACUGGACUCCCACAGGCCAACUCUGGGACAAUUUAAGCAUCAAAAUAAAUACAAAAUAAUGGAUUGUAACCCAUUAAAUAAAAUAGGAAUCCAUCAGUCUAUACUGAUAAAUACUGAAUAAAUAAAUGGGGGAAAUAAAACAGUAGAAUAGCAAUGAAUAAAUGUAGAAGGGAAGACAGAGUUAGAAAACAGCAUUUGGCAAUUGUUGUAGUAAUAAUCAAUUCAGGCAAAAAACAUCAGUGGCUGCUAGAACUAGUGGAUAAGAAUUUGAUGAGAGAUGGGAUAUUUACUUAAGUGACAAACUAUCUCCCUACAAUAUGUUUUAAAAUUACAAAUGUAAAGGAAAAAGUGUAGCUUUGUAGUAGAGAAGCCUGGCAAGGACCAUCUUAAUCAAGUGAUCAAAGUUAACACCAGUAAUGAGGCAAAUUAAAAUUCUGUACCACCCAAGAGGAUGCAAUAAGAUGAACAUUUUUGUGAUAUAUUCCUGCUAAAAAUCAUAACCUGAAUUUAAUCACGAAGAAGCAUCAGACAAACCCAUAUUAAGGGAUAGUCUGUAGAGUAUAGUUAGCUGUCCUGUACGCUGCCAGAACCACAAGAUCAUGUAAGUCAAGGAAUAGCUGAAAAAUGUCCUCAUAUUAAAGGAAACUAAACAGACACAGUCAUUAAAUGCAACAUGUGAUCUUGGAUUGGAUUUUUUGCCAUAAAGCAAUGGUUCUUGAAGUGUGGUCCCAGGAUUAGCAGCUUCAGCACCACCUAGGAACUUGCUUGGAAAUAUAAAAUUUUGGACCUCAUGUUGAACCCACUUAAUCAGAAACCCUGGAUUUGGGCCCACUAAUCUGUAUUUACUGAGACUUCCCAUUGAUUUUGUAGCACACUAAAGUUUGAGAUCCAUUACUAUAAAGUACAUUGUUGGGGCAAUAGUUGAAACUCUGGAGUAGGUGGUAAUAAUAUAUCAGUGUUAAUUUCCUGCUUUGCAGGUCAUUUGUAGGAAGAACAUACUGAAUUAUUCAGGAGAAAUAGAAAAUUAUGCCUACAACUUACUCUUAAAUGACUCAAGAAUUGGCCAGGCAAGUUGGCUCAUGCCUGUAAUCCCAACACUUUGGGAGGCCAAGGUGAAGGGACCACAUGAGCUCAGGAGUUCAAGACCAGCUUGGGCAACAUGGUGAGACCUCAUCUCUACUAAAAAUAGAAAAAUUAGCCAGGUGCGAUGGUGCAUGCUUGUAGUUCCAGCUACUCAGGAGGCUGAGGUGGGAGGAUUGCUUGAGCUCACGAGGUCAAGGCUGCAGUGAGCUGUGAUCAUGCCACUGCACUGCAGCCUGAGUAAUAGAGCAAGAUCCCAUCUCAAAAAAAAAAAAAAAGAUUCAAGAAUAAAAGUUCUUUGUAAUAUGUAUACAACUCUUCUGUAUGUUUUAAAAUAUUUCAAUAUAAAAUUUUUUUCAAUGGGAUGGGACUAAGUUACACAUUUACUAUAUUAGAAAGUUUGACUCAUGUUCACUCUAAUUGCUUUUAUGUUAAGUCAAAUGUGGCACUAAAUACAAAGGAUGCAUAUUCCAUUACAUGUAUGGUUAAAUCUGCUAUGGAAAAUAGUUUGUUCACCCAAAACCAUCUGUGUUUAUUUUCAGGUUGAACGAACCCUAAGGUUAGUCACAUUCUUUAAAACCAUUUGAUGAAUGACACAAUCUCUGAAUCACAUCAAAGCCAAUCUGGUUUCUUCAAGGAUUCCAUAUCAGUGGAAAAACAUUUCUGCUCAAAAGCAUCUGUCUAUCCAUAUGUGGAAAUAGUCAAUACAUGAAACUGAAAAAUAAUUGUUUUCAAAUAAUUGGCUAUAUGACAUACACAGCCCCUCUUUCUCAGCUGCAUUACUAAUUGCCUGAAUAUGAUCUGUGUUUUGAAUUUUUCCCUCAUUGUAGAACUUUGCAAGACUUUCCACUGCACAAAAUUAUAAUACAGCAAGAGCAAAAUAUAGCCUGAGACAAGUACAUAUGUUGGAUUCUAUUCAAAUAUGCAGGGCUUUAUCUAGAAGGAAAAAUCCUUUUAGAGUUAGAGAGGAAGUGAAUCAGGCCCAUGGACUUUGGGUAACCGAUAUGCAAACAUCGGUGGUUGGUGGUGGUUUUUCUCCUUUUUGUUGUCUACUUUGAAGUUGCUGUACAAUAUCCAAAUACCCAGCUCCAUUCUCCCUGGUGUUUUGGUGGUUAUGCAUUUGUUCUGAGACUAUGAAUGGAGAGUUUCCUUCCAACUAACAAGUGUUCCUUCCCUAGCCAUAAUCCUUCAGAAGAACUGAAUCUGAUCAGUUAUGUCUCAACUGAAGAAGACAACAUUUGUUUUAACAGAGUUUAUUUAGAACAUCCUGCUGCUAAUGUCAGCACACAGAUUGGGCAAGUUCCACCAAAAUAACUUUCAGGCUAUUUGUACUCAAUUAAAUGUUUAUUUAAAAUUUCCUUUUGGUUUUUACUGCUGUAAAUGCAUUGUCCAUUUUUCACAUACCAGGCACUGUUGUUUAGUCUCAAGGGCAUUACUUGUUACAAAUUUAACAACUGUGACAUAUUAAAAACAACAUUUAGGGAAGAAAUUAGUGUUGAGAAGAUGUGACCAGAUGUUUUCAUAGUGUUUUGCCAAAGUGUCACUUAAAUGCCAACAAGAUUUUAAAAGGAAUUUUUUUCCAAAGUAUUUCACUAUACCCACUUAAGUGACCCCAAAAUAUGUUGCUAUCACAGAUACGUUAGAAACAAAGUUUAAUUUUCAUUUUAAUCAUAGUUUUCUUGAGGAUACAUAAAAUCUUUUCACUGUCAUUUUUUCUUUUAUAAACCCAUGGUAAUUGAAAAAAUUGUGACUGUGCCACAUGCUACCUUUGUGAUCUAAGUUUUCUUAUGACUAAAAUGGGGAUGCUGGCCAGGUGCAGUGGCUCACACCUGUAAUCCCAGCAUUUUGGGAGGCCAAGAUGGUUGAAUCACCUGAGGUCAGGAGUUCGAGACCAACCUGACCAAAACGGUGAAACCCUGUCUCUACUAAAAAUAUAAAAUUAGCCGGAUGUGG